UACGUAGGGGGCAAGCGUUGUCCGGAAUCAUUGGGCGUAAAGCGCGUGUAGGCGGCCAGAAAAGUCCGCUGUGAAAACUCGAGGCUCAACUUCGAGCUGUCGGUGGAAACUUUCUGGCUAGAGUCCGGAGGAGGAGAAUGGAAUUCCUGGUGUAGCGGUGAAAUGCGCAGAUAUCAGGAAGAACACCCGUGGCGAAGGCGGUUCUCUGGGACGGUACUGACGCUGAGACGCGAAAGCGUGGGGAGCGAACAGG
rnacentral:rRNA from 1 species